AUUGGUCCUGUAGGUCAUACAAUUUGUACAACAAAGCACAGCUUGAUAUAGGACAAUUCAAUUUGAAAAAUUAUGUUAAGAAGGUAUACGACGAGAGAUGACAGUAGUGGGAAUGGUGUUUUCCUGCAGUGAGGUUUUAUGGCUGCAUGGCAGUUCUCUCACGGUUGCUGUCUACACUGCCAAACCCCAGCCAAAUGGUGCCGCUGGCCAGUGAACACACAUGAUCCACUGGGCUGGAAUCGCUGGCAGCCAGACCCCAGAGUUUCUGAAGUGGAAAUCCAAAGACGAGAAGACAGCAAGAAGUAGCUUUUUAUGUGUUUCAUGGUUUAUAGGCCUAAUGGGGAAACUCACCAUGUAAAAAAACGAGUAAUGCAUCAAGUUUGGUACCUCUAUGGUGAUGUGGAAA